rnacentral:rRNA from 1 species
CCUACGGUAGGCAGCAGUGAGGGAUAUUGGUCAAUGGGGGGAACCCUGAACCAGCAACGCCGCGUGAGGGAAGACGGUUUUCGGAUUGUAAACCUCUGUCCUCUGUGAAGAUAAUGACGGUAGCAGAGGAGGAAGCUCCGGCUAACUACGUGCCAGCAGCCGCGGUAAUACGUAGGGUGCGAGCGUUGUUCGGAUUUACUGGGUGUAAAGGGUGCGUAGGCGGGCCAGCAAGUCAGAAGUGAAAUCCAUGGGCUUAACCCGUGAACUGCAUUUGAAACUGCAGGACUUGAGUGGAGUAGAGGUAGGCGGAAUUCCCGGUGUAGGGGGGAAAUGCGUAGAGAUCGAGAGGAACACCAGUGGCGAAGGCGACCUGCUGGGCUUUAACUGACGCUGAAGCGCGAAAGCAUGGGUAGCAAACAGGAUUAGAUACCCGUGUAGUC